GCCGUCGUAGCACAAUGGUAGUGCGUUGCUUUCCUAUCUCGACUUCAAAGUCGGAAUGAGGCAGAGGCUGUGGGUUCGAGUCCCACCGUCGGUU